GAUGAACGCUGGCGGCGUGCUUAACACAUGCAAGUCGAACGAAGCACUUUACCUGAUUUCCUUCGGGGAUGAUUGUUCUGUGACUGAGUGGCGGACGGGUGAGUAACGCGUGGAUAACCUGCCUCACACAGGGGGAUAACAGUUGGAAACGACUGCUAAUACCGCAUAAGCGCACAGCACCGCAUGGUGCAGUGUGAAAAACUCCGGUGGUGUGAGAUGGAUCCGCGUCUGAUUAGCUUGUUGGCGGGGUAACGGCCCACCAAGGCGACGAUCAGUAGCCGGCCUGAGAGGGCGACCGGCCACAUUGGGACUGAGACACGGCCCAGACUCCUACGGGAGGCAGCAGUGGGGAAUAUUGCACAAUGGGGGAAACCCUGAUGCAGCGACGCCGCGUGAGCGAUGAAGUAUUUCGGUAUGUAAAGCUCUAUCAGCAGGGAAGAUAAUGACG
rnacentral:rRNA from 1 species